rnacentral:antisense_RNA from 1 species
AGUGUUAUCUUUUAAGGGCGUUAUUUUAGCGUGUUUAACGAUUUUUGAAUAUCAUUUUAGAGGCAAUCAAAAAUUUGCAAAAUGAGAAUUAAAAUUGGAGUAAUGUAAUAAUGGUGGCCACGACUGGACUUGAACCAGCGACCACUACCA